rnacentral:rRNA from 1 species
CCUACGGGAGGCUGCAGUGGGGAAUAUUGGACAAUGGGCGAAAGCCUGAUCCAGCCAUGCCGCGUGUGUGAAGAAGGCCUUCGGGUUGUAAAGCACUUUCAGUGGGGAAGAAAGCCUUGGGGCUAAUACCCUCGAGGAAGGACAUCACCCACAGAAGAAGCACCGGCUAACUCCGUGCCAGCAGCCGCGGUAAUACGGAGGGUGCGAGCGUUAAUCGGAAUUACUGGGCGUAAAGCGCGCGUAGGCGGUCUGAUAAGCCGGUUGUGAAAGCCCCGGGCUCAACCUGGGAACGGCAUCCGGAACUGUCAGGUUAGAGUGCAGGAGAGGAAGGUAGAAUUCCCGGUGUAGCGGUGAAAUGCGUAGAGAUCGGGAGGAAUACCAGUGGCGAAGGCGGCCUUCUGGACUGACACUGACGCUGAGGUGCGAAAGCGUGGGUAGCAAACAGGAUUAGAUACCCCGGUAGUC